UCCCAAAGUGCUGGGAUUACAGACGUGAGCCACCGCGCCCGGCCUUUUCCAUUUUGAUGGUUGUCUCAUCAAGCUGUUCCUCCUACUGAAUACAAACCAGAUAUUAAGACAGUGUUUAAGUGCCCUCCCAUAUGUAGUUCUGAGUUAGACAUUAAACAAAUUAAGGUAAAAGUCAAUUCCUUAAACCAGGUAAUCAAAGUUAACAUCAACAGUGAUGUCCUGUUGAUAGUAUGUAUUGGUGAUACAAUAUGAUGAUUGUAGCACUCUGUGUGGUCUUCUUCACAAAGACUCAUAACCCUAGUCUACUCAUGAGAAAAACAUCUGACAAAUCUCAG
rnacentral:lncRNA from 10 species